rnacentral:rRNA from 1 species
CCUUGAUGUGUAGGAUAGGUGGGAGGCUUUGAAGUGUGGACGCCAGUCUGCAUGGAGCCGACCUUGAAAUACCACCCUUUAAUGUUUGAUGUUCUAACGUUGACCCGUAAUCCGGGUUGCGGACAGUGUCUGGUGGGUAGUUUGACUGGGGCGGUCUCCUCCUAAAGAGUAACGGAGGAGCACGAAGGUUGGCUAAUCCUGGUCGGACAUCAGGAGGUUAGUGCAAUGGCAUAAGCCAGCUUGACUGCGAGCGUGACGGCGCGAGCAGGUGCGAAAGCAGGUCAUAGUGAUCCGGUGGUUCUGAAUGGAAGGGCCAUCGCUCAACGGAUAAAAGGUACUCCGGGGAUAACAGGCUGAUACCGCCCAAGAGUUCAUAUCGACGGCGGUGUUUGGCACCUCGAUGUCGGCUCAUCACAUCCUGGGGCUGAAGUAGGUCCCAAGGGUAUGGCUGUUCGCCAUUUAAAGUGGUACGCGAGCUGGGUUUAGAACGUCGUGAGACAGUUCGGUCCCUAUCUGCCGUGGGCGCUGGAGAACUGAGGGGGGCUGCUCCUAGU